rnacentral:rRNA from 1 species
UACGUAGGGUGCGAGCGUUGUCCGGAUUUAUUGGGUUUAAAGGGUGCGUAGGCGGCCCUGUAAGUCAGUGCUGAAAUAUCCCGGCUUAACCGGGAGGGUGGCAUUGAUACUGCGGGGCUAGAGUACAGAUGAGGUAGGCGGAAUUGACGGUGUAGCGGUGAAAUGCUUAGAUAUCGUCAAGAACACCUAUAGCGAAGGCAGCUUACUAGGCUGUAACUGACGCUGAGGCACGAAAGUGUGGGGAUCAAACAGG